rnacentral:lncRNA from 1 species
GGAGGCAGAGGCAGGCAGAUUUCUGAGUUUGAGGCCAGCCUGGUCUACAGAGUGAGUUCCAGGUCAGCCAGGGCCGCACAGAGAAACCCUGUCUCGAAAAACCAAAAACAAACAAACAAAAACAAAAACAAAAAAACCCAGAGGACAGUAAGAAGGGGAUGAGCAGGUGGGGAGUGAGAACAGGAGGGAAGGGAGGGGAAGAGAGAACUGCACUUCAAAGCCUGUCUAGGUGGUCCACAUCUGCAGUGCCAGCCAGAGGCCGAGGCAAGAGCAUCAAAAGUUUGAAGCCAGUUUGUGCACCUUAUCCCAGAAAACAAAAACAAAAACAAAAACAAAAAUAUUUAAUUUGAUCUUUUUCCCUUUCUGACCUAGAACAUGGUCUCUUCUAGAGCAAUCUAGUUUUACCCUGGAGGGCUCCUCGGGACACCAGUAAAAAUAGCUUCUCCAAGCCACCUCGCUAAAGGUUAAAGACAUUUGAGCUGUCCCCAAAGGUUACACAGGACAGAGUCCUGUGAAUACAGCAGCAUACUGCCACUGGGCAGGGGAGAGGGCCUUCCUAGGGCCAGUCCUGUGGUUAGUUAGGAAAAGAUAAAACUAGGCACCUUGGGGCUGGAGAGAUGGCUCAGUGGUUAAGAGCACUGACUGACUGCUUUUCCAGAGGUUGUGAGUUCAAUUCCCAGCAACCACAUGGUGGCUCACAACCAUCUGUAAUGGGAUCUGAUGCCCUCUUCUGAUGUGUCUGAAAACAGCUACAGUGUACUCAUAUACAUAAAGUAAGUAAAUAAAUCUUUAAAAAAAAAGUUUAAAAAAGAAAAAAAUAUCUGGGUACCUUGGUACAUUCCUAUAACCCAUCUCAGGAGGGUAAGAGAGGAGGAUUGUUGCCAUGGUUUUAGGGCUAGCCUGGGCAACAGUGUGAGAACUUACAAAUUUUUCUUAUAUAAAUCAUGAGAAAAGAGGAGACCGAAAAUAUUAGAGGGUUCAGAAGCUACAAUAUAAAUUGUUUCAGCACUACAAACCUACUGUCAUAAUUUUCUCAAGUAAAUUUUCUCUUUAAAUUAACUGUGACAUACUGGGGUGGUGGCACACACCUUUGAUCCCAGCACUCGGGAGGCAAAGCCAGGCAUCUGAUCUCUGUGAGUUUGAGACCAGCCUGAUCUUCAGAGUGAGAGAGAAACCCUGUCUGAAAAACAACACAAAACAAAACAAAACAAAAACAAAAAAAUUAAUUGUAAGGUAUGGAGAAGUCAAGUCACUCCGUGUUGGCUAGUUUUAUGUCAACUUGAUACAAGGUAGAGUCACAGGAAAAGAGGGAGCGCAUUUGAGAAAAUGCCUCCAUAAAAUCCAGAUGUAGAGGCUGGAGAGAUGGCUCAGCGGUUAAGCACACUGACUGCUCUUCCAGAGGUCCUGAGUUCAAUUCCCAGCAACCACAUGGUGGCUCACAACCAUCUGUAAUAGGAUCUGAUGCCCUCUUCUGGUGUGUCUGAAGACAGCUACAGUGUACUCAUAUACAUAAAAUAAAUAAAUAAUUCUUUAAAAAGAAAAUCCAAAGGUAGGCAAGCCUGUAGGGCAUUUUCAAGUGCUGGAGCUAAAGGUGUGUGCCUUCAGAUCUGGCCUGUGUCUUCAUUAUUUAAAUCAUUUGUUUUGAUCAUCAUUGAUGUGUGAGUGUGGUGUGUAUGUGUGCAGGUGUGUCUGUAUGUGGGUAUGUGCAAGUGUUGGUACCUGUGCAGACCACAGGCUCUCUUGAAUUCUCUGGAACUAGACUUAUACACAAUUGUUAGUGCCUUGACAUGGGUGCUGGGAACCGAGCCCAGUUCCUCCAGAAGAGCAGUCAGUGCUCUUAACCACUGAGCCAUCUCUCCAGCCCGUUUCUCCGUUUGUUUUUGUUUUUGUGACAGGGUCCCACGUAACUCGAGCUAGCUUCCAACUCACUAUGUAGCUGAGGCUGGCCUUGAACUCCUGAUUCUCCUGUGUCCACGAGGAUUACAGGCAUACGCCUCCACAGCUGGCUUUUAAACUUAGAUGGGCAGACUUUGCCUUCCCAACACUUACACGGUUGAUUCUUCCCAUUUGCUUCCUGGCC